AAACUUUCAGCGACGGAUGUCUUGGCUCCCACAACGAUGAAGAACGCAGCGAAAUGCGAUACGUCUUGCGACUUGCAGAAUCCAGUGAAUCAUCAAAACUUGANCCANNUGCGCU
rnacentral:rRNA from 1 species